GUGCUGAAUGAGACCCAGUGAUGGGGACUGUGAGUAGGGGCUGAAAGCUCACAAGGAGCUAAGCCCCAGGAUGAGAAGUGAUUUGGUUAUGCUUCCAUUGUGCUUAGAGCUUUUGUUUUAGCCAGUCAUU